UGGGCAAUUACCUCAACUGUCUUUGAGGACUGUACUGAAAGGAAGAGAAUACUCUUUGCUGAUCACCU
rnacentral:snoRNA from 2 species